UUUUUAAAUUGUAUUAUUCAUAACAGUAACACAAUUGUAUUGGUUUUGUGUUGUACAUAUUUGAUAUCUGAUACGCAAACAUAUUCUUGAAGUGAAAUAUUUUGCCAACAAUAGUUCUUCCCCAUAGUAAAUACUGGAAACCAUACAUUAUCCUACCGCACCCCAAAUUCGACGAUGUUCUAUUUAUAUUGAUUAAAUGGAUGAUUAUUGUCUUUGAAUCAUUUCAAAGUAAUACAGCCGAGUUUAAAAUUAUUAUUUUCUGCUAUUAAACAUUUCAUUAUUUCUUUCAUUAUUUGCUAAAUAUUGCUUCAUGUAACCGUUACAUCGUCGAAUUUCGGUCCAUUACAUUCGAUUCUUUACACCCUUCGAAUUUGGGUCACACUGGGAUAUUGCAUACAUGCAUCUAGUCCAAAUUUUUGACGCUCUUAAAUAUUAAGCUACUUUUUAUAUGGGUAAAGUAUCUCGCGCGUCUUAUAAAUAAGACUAACAUGCAUCAUGCAGAGAUCUCCCUCUGGUUUAGUUCAAACCUGUAUAUUUUAGUUUGAUUGCAUAGGACUUAUUUGAAAAAGCUGUAAAUUUUGUUUCCGGUGCCUAGAACCAGUACUUAGUGUCUAUAGGGAAGAUCUAAAGAACGCUUUCACAGUGGGGAUCGAACCCGUGACCUCCUGGUUGCUAGGCGGACACCAUAUCCUUUACGCCACAGCUACCUCAGGGUUUGGGGUAACGGUACAGUUUGUCAAGACACCAAACGCAAAGCCUAUCCCAAGGCAAUGCCCCAUUUGCGUGGUAAAAGGCAACACGACUGUGUACCUCCGGGUAACAGACCACGUUCGCUGGGUGCAAGCGCUGACGGCAGACCCCAUGAAGCCGUUGAUGUCAGAGGCACGUGCUAAGACCGGUCGGAAAGUGAAGAAGACAAAGCCGAGGAAUUACUACUCUUGCUGGCUGUGCGACCGGUCGGUGAUUGACCGGCUGCGUCAUCUAGAACAGGAGCACAAAAUGGAGGCUGGGACAUUCAAUUUUGUUUACACAAGAGGGCCGUUUCCGGAAAGACGCGAAAACUUCAGGAAAGGUGACCAGCAGACUCGCCACUCAUGAUGACUCGGCAUAGGAGGAUGAGAAGGUGGAGGAUGAGGAGGAGGAGGAAGAGGACUUUUCAUUCCUAAUGCCGAAAUACUGCCUGAGCCUGGAACCCAAUGCAAGGGUGAUGCAUGGUCGGAGAAGCUGCAAUUUCAAUCGUUGACUCAUAUGUAGACUACAUGUUCCUGCGGAGCAGGCCAGGUGGGUUGGCAAACGAGUCGAAAACACAAGAGGUCAACAUGAAGAUCAACCGGUUCCUGGCCCUGUCUGGCUACUUGGAAGGAGUGGUGUUGAGUGACAUGCUGUUGUGGAUGGGCCAUAUGGAGGUCCACGACAGUUCCUCAACACCACUCACCAGCUGAAGACGGUGCGGAAUGCACUAACGGCAAUCAAGAACUUCCUGAAGUGGUGCGAGGGAAUGGUCUAGCGGACGCCCGCACAUUGAACAAUUUAAGCGUAAACUUAGGAUUUGAUUUAUGUAAAUUAUUCAUUCUUCUUGGACAUCUACUUAUUAAUGUUUUGGCGUUGGCGUCUUUCUGUCUGUUCUUCCGUCCAUCUUUCCGUCCGUCCAGCACUUUUGUGUCGAGAGCCAUAUCUUGAAAGUGCUUUGGCCGAUUUCAUUGAAACUUGGUAUGAGUAUAUAUAUGGAUAAGAGGACGAUGCACGCCAAAUGGCAUUGUACACAGUCUGUUAAUUACGGGGUUUUGGCCCUUUGUAUCUUGAAAAAAUGCUUUUUUUAGUGUCAAAUAUAACACUUUUGUGUCCAGAAGCAUAUUGGCGGGGGAUAUCAAUUUAACAAAUUUGCUUGUUUAGCUUUAUUUUUUUUUCGGCCGAUCUCCUUCUCACAGGCUUCCUGACCUCAACCUGCCUGGAUAAGAGCCGUCGCGAGGUUGUUCGGAGGGUAGAGGAGAGUGCGGCCAUCCUGACGGACGCAAACCUGGAGCGCCACUUCACUGAGAGUGAGCAUGUAGUGAAAACGAUCAAGGUGAUCCAGGAGCCCCCAGCUGGCACACCUGAAAGAUAUUCGGGGAAUAAUCAUUUAACUGAUAGCGCUCUAUAACGCCUCCUGAACUGGCAAGUAUACAAACCUGAGGGUAUGUAAUAUAAAUAAGCCUAGUAUUGAUUCGAAAAGAUAACCCUACAUUACUUUUCAGACCAGAGUUGUUUUUCAGUAGCAAUUGCAUAGAAUUGAAUGAAACUUGAAGUUAAUAGGCAUUAAAAUUGGGUUUAUUUAAGUAUACAACAAAGCUGUUCGCCUGUUAAUUGACCGACUUGUCUUAUGUAUAAUAUUUUUACCAGAUUGUUACCUUGAAGACAGAUAAACUAUAAUGCAAAAGUUCAUUUUGACAUUCCAAAUUGGGGAAAGGCCUUGAAGCCAUUGUAAAAUUAAACUGUUAUGGCCCCUUAAUUGAUUGAAAAUGUCAAAUUUCUGUCUGCAUAUGUUGGUGUAUGAAUUUAGUGAAAUUCAAAUUAGAUCAAAUUUGUUAUCAUUUUUCAGUGGUUCUUGCAUAAGAGUCAUCAGGAUGAUUUAGUCAUUUCAGAGAUGUACCCUUUAUAGCUCAACUUGAGUUAUUGUUGCUGGUCUUUGUCUGUUUUGCGAUGUGUGUCUAUAUGUCAACAUUUUUACUUAAACAAUAUCUCCUACUAAACCUUUGGACAAAGCUUGAUGAAACUGGCAGGAAUAUUCCUGGCAUGAAGCUCCUUCAAUGUUGCUCCAAGAAUUGUUUUCCAUGAAAUCCUUGUUGCCCUGGCAACCAAAAGGAAAAACUUAAAAAAUCUACUCUGAAACUGCAAGGCCUUGGGCUGAGAUAUUUAGCAUGAAACAUUGUGUGGUGGACCUUUACCUGUGGGCAAGUCGAUUUUUUGUCGAGCCCACUUAUGGAGAGCUCGACAUAUUUGUCACAGUUGGCGGUUUGGUGUAUGUGGAUCAGUCCGUCAGUAUGAAAGUCCGGGUUAGGCUUGUCUGGAGCGUAAGUCUGUUAUUGAUUGGAGGAAUUUCAAAUAACUUACAAUAAAUGUUCACAAUCAUGACACGGCCGGUCACUGCUCAAGAAAACGUCAAUAUCUCAAAGGUCAAGGUCACACUUUGAGUUCAAAUGUCAAAAAUGGCCAUAAAUGACCUUGUCUGGGCCAUUAUUAUGUCAUUCAUUGUCAGAAUUAAAUUCAAUUUAAAAUCAUGUGUCACCAUAAUUUGACGGUGUUGCAUGGGAAGGAAUAAUGUCGAAAUCUCGAAGGUCAAGGUCACACUUUUAGUUCAAAAGUAAAAAAUGGCCAUAAAUGAGCUUGUCCGGGCCAUAACUGUGUCAUUCAUUGUAAGAUUUUAAAAUCAUUAAGCACAUUUGUUCACCAUCACUCGACGGUGUGUCAUAAGAAUGAAUUACGUCAAAAUCUCCAAACUCAAGAUUACACUUAAGAGUUCAAAGGUUAAUUGGUGGGACUUGUACCAUGAUUGUUCAAACUAUGUUCCUGGGGUCAAAAUUGCCCCACUGGGGAGGGAAAUGUAAUUUCCUUAUUAGUAUAUUAAAAAACCUCAAAAACAAAAAUUUUCUCAUAAAUCACAAGGCCUAGAGCAAAGAUAUUUGGCAUGAAAGUUCAUCUUGUGGACCUUCACCAAGAUUGUUCAAGUAUCAUUGGAUCAUAUUUGCCCCACCCUCGGAUCAAAUUUGUUUUCCUUCUAUAAUAUAUAUAUAAUGAACACUUAAAAAUAUUCUUCUCAAAAACUGCAGUGCGAACAUACAUAUUUUGCAUAAAACAUCAUCUGGUGAACUUCUAUACAGAUUUUUAAAAUUAUCAGCUGGGGGUACCAAUGAUAAAUUCAUUGAAUUUACCUGCUAAGAUUCAUUUGCUUUGUGGAAAUGCAAUAACUUGCAAUGUUUUUAAAGUGAUUGAAUGGUUCAACAUUAACUUAAAAUUAAAAAGAAAAAAACUAUUUCAUACAUCAUAUUAUACUUAUAAAAAGCCAUAAUUGUAAUGCUUUCAUGGAAAAAAAUGAAUGUUUGCUUAAUUUUCAAAAAUAUUAAUAAAUCUUUAAUGUUGAGGAUUCUUCAUAAAGGUUUUACGUGUGCACAGAAUGUUAUGGUAAUCUCCAAAGCAUUCCCAUUACAAAAUACAUCCGAUGUCUAUGGAUAAGUUAUUUUUAUGCCCCCUUUCGAAGAAAAGGGGGUAUAUAGUUUUCGCACUGUCUGUCAGUCUGUCACACUUUUCGUGUCCGCUUUCUAAUUCAAAUAAUUUUCAUUCGAUCUUUACCAAACUUGGUCAGAAGUUGUGUCUAGACAAUAUCUAGGUCAAGUUCGAAUUUGGGUCAUGCCGGGUCAAAAACUAGGUCACGGGGUCACUUAGUGCAUUUCAAGGAUUUAGCAUGGUGUCUGCUCUCUAAUUGAAGUAGUUUGCAUCAACAUUCAUGCGCCUGUCAAGUAUCGGGCAUUCAGCGUGAGAGUCGCGCAUUUACGCAGCAAAACACCCUCUCACACAGCCAAAUCUUAUGCUCUCCUUUUUUUAUACGCCCGUUUUUAAAAACGGGACGUAUUAUAGUUUCACCCUUGGCGGACGGCGUCCACAACAGUGUCCGCUCUCUAAUUUAAAUAGUUUUCAUCCGAUCUUCACCAAACUUGGUCAGAAGUUGUGUCUAGACAAUAUCUAUGUCAAGUUAAAAUAUGGGUCAUGCCGGGCCAAAAACUAGGUCACGAGGUCACUUAGUGCAUUUCAAGGAUUUAGCAUGGUGUCUGCUUUCUAAUUGAAGUAGAUUUCACCCGAUCUUCACCAAAUUUGGUCAGAAGUUGUGUCUAGAUGAUAUGUAGGUCAAGUUGGAAUAUGGGUCAUGCAGGGUCAAAAACGAGGUCACAAGGUCACAUAUUGCAUUUCAAGUAUUUAGCAUGGUGUCCGCUCUCUUAUUGAAGUAGUUUUCAUAUGAUCUUCACCAAAUUUAGUCAGAUGUUAUACUAAAUGAUAUCUAGGUCAAGUUUAAAUAUGGGUCAUGCCGGGUCAAUAACUAGGUCUCGAGGUCACUUAGUGCAUUUCAAGUGCCCCCUAAUUAAAGAAAUUUCGCGGCUAUAUAUAAAACGAGUAUUAUAAUGACAAUAACGCCAGUAACUUUCUUGCUAUUAUGUCUGGAAAUUGAGUGAAAUUUCAAAAGUAAUAUAAAGUUGUACAAGUAUUAAAGUUAUAAAACGGCAAAAAAAUACCUGCCUCGGCAUGGACGUCGCCAUCUUGAUAAUCACGUGAUUUUCGUCUAUGUUAACAAAGAAAAACAAAUCACUUUUUGCUAAUAAAAAGUUUUCGCGGCUGAAUUAUUUGAUAUUUUCCCCGUAAUCAAAACAAACAAUUAGCAUGCAAUUUAAUCCAUCCGUAUGCAAGCUGAAAACAAUAAUUUAUUUGUUUGUUUUCGCCAAUUACGGAUUUGGACGGUUCAAUAUAAUAAACCCGUAUGCCGCUUUAUUCAAAGCUAACAAGUUCUUAACAAUUAAGGUCGGUCCGGUCUACCAAUUAAAAGAUCGCGGUGCUUAUCGUUAACGGUAACAAGUUCUCUGCCUGCCUAAUUAGCUGCUAAUUAAAGCAACUGUUACCGAUUUUGUUUGUUUGGCAUGUCGACAUGAUCUGCUCAAAAUGCUAA